GGACAGAGAGAGACGAGGAGAGAGAAUCUCAAGCAGGCUCCACAUCACCAGCACAGAGCCUGAUGCAGGGCUCGAUCCCAUGAACUGUGAGGUCACGACGUGAGCCAAAAAAAAAAAAAGAGUUGGGCACCUAACCCACUGAGCCACCUCGGCGCCCCGAGGCUGACAUAUUUUAAAUGUAAAGCUAAAAAUGUGCCCCAAGGUCAAAUAUAAUAAUACAUGGUAUAAGAGUCAUUUACUACUUGUCUAAAUACCUAAUACCACGGUUCAUCUCCAUUAUAGUUGGCCUUCUUCUCACUUCUAGACACCUGUACUUAUUUGGUUGAUUCCCAUCAUAAUUACAUCAGAGUGUCCCUGAUCGUUAGCAAGGGUAAAAAUCUUGCAAUGAAAAUGACCAUUGUUGAAGUAUCUCUACCACGUCUAACUUUAAGUCCAGGGGAGUACAAAUUCAGAGGAAAGAUUUUAGCUUUAAGUCCAGGGGAGUACAAAGACAGAGGAAAGACUUCAAAUUCAAUUUUCACUCUUCUCUGGCCUAAUUUAGGCUAUUUAAGCUAAGUCCAAAACAUCUAAACAUCUGUCUGCAAUUUGAUUAAAGAACUUAAAGAAAAAAACCUAGGGCCUCUACCUUUUGUGAAUGACUUCAAUAGUAAUCAAAUACUUUUUCAGUAAGAACUUCGCAGUUCUUAGGGCAGUGCAAACCUCUCCUGUAAAUUUCAUUGAAUUUCAGUGAGACAUGAGUUGACACCUUAGCCAGAAAAUAGCAGUGGCCAUUUGAUAUUCCUAUUGCCUUGUGAGUGAGACUCAAGUGGUAUUUUGACUGAACAGUUUAGGUGGCCCAGACCUUGCUUUAUUAAAUCAUCAGGUAAAAAGUACCUGAAGUUAUUAGGCAGACAUUCUUCCCUGUUUAAAAGUACAUAAGAAAAACUGACCAUAUUAUUUUGGUAAUCAAGUUUUCAAAACUGCUAACAAACAGAUUGUUUGUAUGGACAUAGCCAAUGGAAAUUGAUGGGAUCGUUCAGAUCCUUUAAACAGUUUCUUCACAUCUACUUGUCAGCUCCCUCUAACUCCUGUGGCUUUGCCUCAAAUCUAUGGGCAUUUUAGAAUGUUUCUCUGGCUUACUUUAUCUAGAUAAUUGUUCCAUAUAUCCACUUUGCUGGUGUACAACUAAUCACUGGAACAGAGUACCACAGUUCAAUGCGAGCACACUUUACUACAGAGAAGUGCUAUUUCUACUGUAUCUCCAAAUCACAUUUUAUCCAACAGAAGUGGGUUUUGGCUUGCAUUGCUUUUAGGCAGAGGUUUGUAACAGUGAGAACCUUAUUUGUGUUAUACACACGCACACGCAUACACACACACACAUGCACACAAUGAAACUUAAUAGCAUUUGUUUGUUCUGUCCUUGGCCCUUCCUCUUUUUGGGUAAUUAUUUGAUCAUUUUUAAGGAAGGAGGAGAAGUAACUUCAAUGGAAAGAAACUUCCUGAGAUAUGGUGAGGAAUUUCUCAAAUAAGUUGCCACGACAGUAUCUCCUGUAGCACAAUUGUUAAUACUGAAAGCCCUCAGAAUUUCAGGUUUCUGGUUUGAAGAAAAAUAAAGCAUUUAGGUUAGAAAAGAACAUACCUGUAAAAAUAAAAAUACACAUUUUUAGUGAAUUAAGCCUGCAUACUUUGGAUUUAUUGCAUACUUGAGCUAUUACUAUUCAUAUGCUAGUAUGUGGUUUUAGGAUUUCCAUCUGUAGGCUACAUGGUGGUCCAGAGAAGAAGAUACUGGUAGGUGGUUUUGAGAGCUUUACUCUUAGAAAAUGAAACAAAGGAAUUAGUUGCUUGGAAUGAUACGGGCUGCAGGCUAAGGUGCUCUGGCAUGUUUAAGCUCAGUAUUUGUUUUAUCCCUACUCUUGAGUGGACUUGUACCUGAUACUUGUUAGUUUAUUUGGUCUGAGUUGUAGCCAUUCAUUUUUUAAAGAUCUACCAUCAGUGUUUGUGGUACUUGAGACUCAUGUACAUAUUAAGGAUUAUAAUGUUUUAAUAUAAAAUUAAGUGGAAUGCCCUUAUGCCAGAAGCUGGCUUUCUCCUCUGGUGUGAAAAGCUAGGAAAGCUUUGUAGAAACUUCCGGUUACUACACAAAUAAAAGACAAGUUUUGUAGGAACGGGAAGAGCCCACCACCUUUGACCGCUGUAAUCAAUCAACUUUCCUCAGUCCAUAAGUGUAACACACACUACCCUCAUUCUGGACCCUCAAAAAGAAAAGGCUUUUUCAGAACUCUCCAAAUGACUCGAUAGAACCAAAAAGACCAAAUGAAGAAGUAGCUAAGAAUGGCCUUCAGCGUAAAGGUCAUUUUCACCAAUUUGCAGUAUAUUUUGCCCUCUGACGUCAUCUAUGAGCAGGUUUCAGGGAAUCUAACCUCCCAGGAGCUGCACCUCAGCACACGCACACACACGUAGCAAGGCCAUACCCUUGGUGGCACUUGAACGAGUAGGCGGCAGUGUACCUUUUAUUUUACCCUAGGGUGGCCAACCACAGUUGAGCUGGGCUUGGCCACUUUAUGCCUUUCCCGCAAAGCACUCAUUCCCCAAAAUACUCAUUACCACCAACUGCCUUCCAAUUUAGAAACCUUCUUGACAGUUUUCCGGUCUUAUACAACCCUUAAAACCGACCCUUGGAAGACAAGACAAACAAGAGGCUUUGAGGUACUUGGAUGGUGAGGGUGUAGUAAGAGACAGAUGCAAAAGCUUGUAAAGAAUGAGUAUGGACAAACACUUUAGAACAUAGGGGGCUAAACCACCAAAUUGUCAAACUCUUUAGAUGACCAAACUGAGAUGGGGUUCCCCAAUAAUUAAAAAAAAAUGUAGUUCCUGAAAUAAAACACUAACAUCACCAUUUUUUCACUCAAAAAAAUCCAGAAGUGCCACAGUGUAUGAAAACUAGCUCUGAACAAACUGUAAUCCUUUUGCAAAGUUCGGGUCAAAUUCCGUUUGAGUUUCAGAUCACAGCAAUUUCUCACCUUGUGAUCACUGUGUUGAUAAGCUCAACAGAGUGAGACUCAAAGGCUACAUUUUAAAUCGUGCACUAUCACUGAUUGACUUUUAUAAAUAUGCCCUUCUGAUCAGUUACCGGCCUUGAUCUCUCCAAAUUUUAUCUAAGGAAGAAAAUGACUUUGUUCAAAAUCUACAUCAAAGAGAAAGAAGAGGUCAAGUUGGGGGAGGGGAGUAUAGAAGAAAGCUAGAUUCUAUACCUGGUAUCAUGUUUUAGCCUCAAAAUGUGGAAUAAACGUAUCAACUGAGAUUAUUAAAGGAGACUGAUCAUUUUCACACGCACGCUGGAAUGUAUGUGCCCAAAUGAAUGCGGUUCUUCAAACUAAUCAUCUUAAGCCACACCCAUGUGUGAAGGUUGCCGUUACUCAAACCAUUGUGGACUUCUGCUUUUGGGAAGCCUUUAAAAAUCCGUAAUAUUCUCAAUGGUAGAAAGAUCCUCAAUGGUAGAAAACUAUGAUCCUGUAAGACAAAAUUUUUAGAAAGCAACAGUCAAAAGUAAUUUUUAGGUCCAUAUUUGGUCAAAAAUUGGGGUGAUCCAGCGGAGUUCUAAUUUUUCUGGUUCAAGCGCUAAUACAUAAUAAGCACUUCAUUAGGUACAAGUAUAAAAUGAGACAGUUUCUUGUGUGAUUUGUAAAGCGACCUGACACUCUUUGGAAACCAGUUAAUUUUUUUUCUUACCAACUUUAUUAUAGAGUAAUACCUGGUGUACACUUGCCUGCAUCCUUACUUUAAUGUGUGCAAUUCAGUGAGUUUUCACAGUUGUAUCUAUUCCUGGAACCAUCACCAACGUUAAGAUGCAAAACUUUCUGGGGCACCCGGGUGGCUCAGUCAGUUAAGCGUCUGACUCGUAAUUUUGGCUCAGGCCAUGAUCUCACAGUUCAUGGGGUUGAGCCCCACAUUGGGCUCUGCGCUGACAGCAUGGAACAUGCUUGAGAUUCUCUCUCUCUCUCUCUCUCUCUCUCUCUCUCUC